CCUACGGGUGGCAGCAGUAGGGAAUUUUCGUCAAUGGGCGCAAGCCUGAACGAGCAAUGCCGCGUGAACGAGGAAGGUCUUCGGAUCGUAAAGUUCUGUUGAAGGGGAAAAAGAGCGGAGAGAGGAAAUGAACUCCGAUUGAUAUUACCCUUCGAGGAAGUCACGGCUAACUACGUGCCAGCAGCCGCGGUAAUACGUAGGUGGCGAGCGUUAUCCGGAAUGGUUGGGCGUAAAGGGUGCGUAGGCGGCCUGCUAAGUCUGGAGUGAAAGGUACCGGCUCAACCGGUACAGGCUCUGGAAACUGGCGGGGUAGGGGGCAGGAGAGGGCGGUGGAACUCCAUGGGGAGCGGUAAAAUGGGUAGAUAUAUGGAAGAACACCAGUGGCGAAGGCGGCCGCCUGGCCUGUUGACUGACGCUGAGGCACGAAAGCGUGGGGAGCAAAUAGGAUUAGAUACCCGAGUAGUC
rnacentral:rRNA from 1 species